ACACCUGUCAUUGGAUUUAGGGGCCUCCCAGAUAAUCAUUUCAAGACCCUUAGCUUAAUUUCACCUGGAAAGACCCUUGUUGCAAAUAAAGUAACAUUCACAGGUUCUCAGGAUUAGGGUGUGGAUAUAUCUUUGGGGGCCUACCAUUCAACCCUCUACAACUGGAAAGCAAUUCUUCAUCCCUAAGCCAUACUAAGUCAACUGUAAUACUGAAGCAGCAAUCUCAUCUGUAAAUACAGGACUGAUGUCCCCACAAACUGUGACGGUAGACUGUCGGCAAGGAGACCCCUAUCGGGCCCAGGGGCUGCAUUAGCUCUUUCUUCUGCCUAAAGUGACAGUCAGUAAACAGAACACACCGCUCAAUAAAGGUGACACUCUAGGAACCCUUUAGGAAUGUCAGUGGUCCUCUUUUACCUUUUCCAAGUGUGAGUGAAACUCUUAACAGUAUGUGUCAAUAUAGCCCCAUCUGUGAAAUCAAAUAUUGUUCUCCAGGAAACUUUUUCUGUGGUUAUGAUCUUAGCUCCUUCUGAAGAGUUAAAACAAAUUAUUUAUGCUACAGUGACACUGCUUCUAAUUUCCCGUAAAAGAUUACAGAAAUAAUUUUGCUCCCUAUUGAUUUUAUUUUUCACUCAGUAAACAUUGUUUUCCUCUCCCCUGUUUCAAAUAGGAGUUGAAAAAAAUAACAUCACUGUUUAAGUAGACAGGAAAAGGUAACACCAAAACCCUGUGGGUCUGUCAGGCAGCUGCCUGGCAUUGCAGAGCUGGGGGGGGUGCCUGGAACAAGAAUACUGAUAAACCAGUUUUGCGGGUGGAAGGAGGCUGCAGUCAGGUUUGUAUGUCCCCAGAGGAGUAAGCUUCGAGCCUCAGCAGAGCCCAGAAAGGCCGGAAACAAUCCCAGCGGCUCCUGCGGAACACAGCAGUCCACUGGUGUCCUGCUCUUGGGGCUUCACCAGCUCAGUGCAUUCCUACCCAGCUCCUGCAGGGGGCGCUGCGCCAGCUCCUCCCACCUAAUUUCCCCGGGACUGCUGCCGCUGUCCAGCUGGGAGGUCCCUAAGACUUUAUCUGCUCCCUUCCCUGGUCCAUAGCUGAUGAAGGGCACAAAAUUCCAGCUCCACUGCCUCAAAACAGGAGACUGUCUGGUGCGCCACACUUUCCAGAGCUCCCUGAAAGAUCAGGCUGAGGCUAGACUUCAAAACUCAGCCUUUGUCUAGCUCCUUCUGCCCCGGCCUGCUUCCUGCUCUCAAACCAGUUGCACAAGAAUCCCCAUCUCUAGCUCUACUUCUAGGGAAGCUGACUCCAACACUCCCUGUGAUGGACGCUGGGAAAUUCUAAGAAAAAUCCUGGUCAUAUUUCCAGACCCUGGUUCCUAGUAUCUUAAAGCGAAGUGGGAGACCAGAGCAGGGGAACUCAACACCUUCUGAACACUAGUCUUUCCCAAUGGCAAUGAUGUGGAAGACCCCUGACGCCCUCGUGGAGGUCACAAGAACAGCUCUUGGAAGGGACUGUGGAGGAGAGCUGGGACAGCUGGGACAGCUGGGAAAUGGAGGCAGCUCUCACAAGCCUAGUGGCUGCAGACAGGGCUGCACACCAGCUUCCUCAUCUAUAAAAUGGGGAUACGGCACCUCUGAGGGAUGUCAUAAUGACAGGUCUGCUGAAGCCUGCCCACCAAUGAGGAGCCAGGUGGAUAAAUUACGGUGCAGCCAAAUACUGGAUGCAUAUGCAGUUAUCACAACAUCGUUUCCAAACAAGUUUAAGUGAUAUGUGAAAAUACAUAUGGCUUAUGAUAAUGAAAAAGAAACGACCCCAAACUGUCCUUUUAUGAGCUCAGGAUCUGGACUCAAACUGCCUGGCCCAAAACCCAACUUCAGUAUUUAUGGCUCUGUGACUUUGGGUAAGUUACCUAACCUCUCUGCGCCUGUUCCCUCAUCUGUAAAAUGCAGAUAAUGCCCUAGCUAUCAGGAGGAUUAAAUGAGGUGACUAUGUAAAGCACCUAGCCCAGUGGCUAACACCUGAUGGGAACUCAGUGACAGGCGCCCUUAUUAUUAUUAAAUAACACUUCCAUCUUUGAGAGGAAAAGUUCAAGCAAGAGUUCUUUGUAAACAAUAUUAGUGUUGUUUCUGCCUUCUGAGGGGAAUAAAGAAAAUCGAAGAGGAAGAAAUGAGUAAAAACAUAUUGAGGUCAUACUGGAGUAAUUCUGUUUUCCAGAAGGUUCCAAUUUACUCUGUACCUGAAAGCAUUUAAUUAUUUUCUCCUUUACCCCCUUCCGAUUCCCCUCUGAAGGAGCUUCAUUUUCUCCAUCUUUAAAAGUCAGGAUGAUACUGCUUUUCUCUUAAGUUUCACAACAAUCCUUUCUGUGGAUAAUAUAUGGAAACUGCUUCACAGGCAAUUUCUCUUUAUCACUCAAUUUAUCCUAUCUAUUUGAAGCAAAAUAACAAUUUUAAAACGAGUGUGACUGCCCCAGGAAAUGGAAGGGCCAUGUCCGUGCCAUGCCAGGUGCAAGACUUUCUCUGCAGGAGGCCAAGAAGCUUCUGUUAAUGAUUUCCGCCAUGGAGCGUGGGAUGGGCGGGGGCUGGGAGGAGGGACAGAUUCCCACCCAUCCUCCUGUUGCCGGGGGCAGAGUGGAGCUGCUGAGCAAGUAAGUGGCAGCCAGGGCCAGGCCCCGAGCCAGGCUGCUGAUGCCAGGAGUUGCUAAGGACCCCAGUGUGGAAUGGCCGGGGAGUGAGCAGCGGGUGAGAGAACCACUGAGCAGAGCUGGCGACAGACAGUGAGCAUGUGGCAGGCGGCAGGUCAGAGAGAGGCCUCUGUGGGCAGCGUGCCAGCCAGCUGAGCAGGCAGAAGGCAGCAGGGAGGAAACAGAUGGACUUCUUGUGGAGCUGAGAAGCGGGGGAGGGAGGAAGGGGGUGCAGAGGAGGGCGUCCCUAACACAAGAAUUUAAAUAAACACACUGACCCACACAGGGAGUCCCCCAAGUGAGGCCUAGGACUGCCCUGGAGGGUCUCUAGGACCCGCUCUAAUGCCAGAAACCCAUGGGACUCUCUCCAGAACCCCAUUCCACCCCAGCCCCUGCAGCCUGGCAGACCCUUCAGCUGGUGUCUUCAUCAGUACCAUCUCCUCUGGCCAGUGGUUACCAAUCUGGGGGCAGAUAGUUAUUUGGGGUGUCCUGGAGGAGACUUCUUGCUCGUAGUUAAGAGAUCCACAUACUCUGCAGGCAGAGUAAAUAAGGCCUCACACCUGUGUAGAACUACGAUUCUUUAAAUGUAGGCACAUGCUAUUGCCAUCACUGAAGUGCAAGUGCAUUUAAAAGCAUUGCAGAAUUCUCCAGCCUGUCAAUUUCAUUGUUCCUUUUCCAAACUAUCAGACACCAAAAACACUAUUACAACUUAAAAUAUUGCUAUCACAUUUGGCUCCUUGAAAUUUCUGGAUGAUAAAGAGAUACCUGUAUUUCUAGAUGCUAAAAGUUUAGACAACCGUUUAAUGCCACCAUGCUCUGAAGGGCAAGAAGCACUUCAUUUCUCUCUCUGUAAGAGGUCACCUCAUGUAUCCUGAGGAAGUUAUUUAUAGAUCUGUACACCAGGAGUUCUUACAAGGAAGUUCAUCACAGCCUUGGGCAGAACCAGAAGCUCCUUGGGCCACAAUAAGGGAGAGGAACUGGUCACAGAGACCACAGUACAUCCAGGACUGGAUACAGUAACACUAUUAAAAGCCAAAUUGCAGAUGAAUGUUAAGUGACAUGAGAAAACAUUCAUCACAUAUAAAGCAAAAAGAGCACUUCAUAAAAUAUGUAUAGAUCUUCAUUUUGUAAAACACACACACUCCCAAAUUAUGCAUGUCUACUAUGAAACAGUAUAAAAUUUAGUUUAAAUAUUAAUCUCAGGGAGAGGAGGUGGGAGAGUAUACUUUCCUCUAGGUGUUUCUCAAAAUUUCUACAAGGAACAAACAUUACUUCUGUUACUGGAUAUAAAGCCCAUAACUUAUGAUGUUUCAUUAUUUUCAUUUUGUUUGAACAUUGAUAGAAAAAGUAGUUUCUUGUUCUUGGAUCAGGAUUGGGUUGGGGUCAAAGAAUCCUGACACUGAGUUUCUUUGCUGCCUUUAACUCUUCAGCUUCCAGGAAACAGGGCCUGGGUGUGCAGACUGCUUUGGCUGGCCUGACCCAGAUCUAAAUCAGAACGCAGAGGGAUGGACCGUUCUGGGUUAGGCUGGUCGUUUUCCACUCACAGGUCUAUUUACAGCUGUACCAGGGGCUGAGACUCCCCGUGGUCUAAUUCUGUUUGGGAAUGGGGCUGUGAAUUCCUGAAGUGAAGCCCGAUUGCCCCGACCUCCUGGAGGGACUUGAGGAUGUCCUCCCUGCCAGAAAACAUUGUGCUCCCCUUCCAGACUCACAUCUGCUCAGGGCGCAUCCAGCUGGGGUAGGCUCCUUCAGUCCUACUUCACACAAAGCAUCUCUUUAGGAUAUUAAAUAUUUUUGCAAAGCCCUCAUUACUAUCCUGAAAUAAAAUGUAUGCACAAUCUGAUCUUAAUCCCUGUGACAACCAAAAAUGCUUCCAUGAAAUUCCAAAAUAACCCCUUGCAGGCAGUUCAGCCCCAAGUUGAGAGAGAACCACCAUGUCAAUGGAGGGAGGGUUGAUACUAACAUGAUGCUUCCCUGAUACUCUUCGAUUAAGGGCCAGACCCUCAUCAGGAUCUGGCAGAUGGUGGGUUCUGGUCCCUGCAUGUUUCUCCAUUCUCAUCCACGCAAGGUUGUCCCCUCCCCUCCAACCCUAGCAAUACUCCUUCCUCCAGUCUCAGAGCCACUGUCUGUGCUCUUCUCCCAGUAAUGCUGUUCCCUCAUCCUUCAGUAUUCCUCUUACCUCCCAGACAGUUCAGAUGCCCUCAUUAAUUCUCUGUGGUAUGGAAUACUUCUCUUUCCUAGCUUUUGUCCCACUGUAUAGUUAUGUAUCAGUAAUCAUUUUAUUAAUGUUUAUGUUCCCUAUUGGAGUAUGAGGACAGGGGCUGAUCUGUCUGCUUCCUUUUGUUUCUAAAGUGUCCUGGCAUACAGUAGGUGCUCAAAUAUUUGCUGAAUAAAUAAGUGAACCUUCUGGAAGACAUUUAGGCUUCCAUCUUUGCUGUGUAUGAAACUACAUUCUGAUUCUCUUUCCAUAUGGUUCUGCAGAUGUCACAGUCUCUGUUUUCCUGCACAGGCAGAAAGGGUUGCUCUUGUUAACUGCUGCACAGCAUAUACCUCCCACAGGAACGCAGCAGAUGCUCAAUAAAUUAGAUGAAAGCCUUUCUCAGUGUCGUGGGAGGGAAGGUUAGGAACUGCCUGGACAUUGGCUCAUGCUGUAUCUUCUUCCAGCCCACCACCUGCAACAUAUCACUUCUCUCCAGCUCACACACCCUGAAUAAAGGCUUGGUGAGGUAAACAGGGCACCCCUAAGCUGACAAACCAUACUCAUCUCUGAAGAUUCAACUCAAAUGAUACCUUCGUUUUCCCUCCAUCCUUCCUCCCCAAUGCGGUCAACAAUCAGGGCUUUUAUGUCCCUGACAAUUUGGGACUUGUCUGUCUUCUCAAUGGAACCACAGACUUCUUAAGGGCAAGGGCUCUGACAUAGCCAUCUGCUUCUGCAGAGAUGGAGGUGGACGUAGCCCUCAUGAAUGUCUGCUGAACAAACAGACUGACGAGGAAUGUUGCUGGUGAGGCCACAAGCAAGGGCUUCAGGACCCCUUCAGACCUCAGGGCAUCCUUUCCAGCUCAGGCCCCUUAGGCACCCAGAUGACACCAGGAGACCAGCUCUCCAGCUCAGACUUGCAGUUUCCACUGAGGCUUGCAGGUGGACAUUCCUUCCUCUAGCCGUGGAUGUGGGGGGACACCAAGAGAGAAGUAUGGUGUGGCCCUCCCACACCCAGUGGCUUCAUGCAGAGUAGCUCCCCCCAUCCCCAACUCUUGCCCAGAUCUAUUUCUAACAGCUUUAUUGAGAUAUAAUUCACACAUUUAAAGUGUUCAAUUCAGUGGUUUUUAGUCUAGUAACUGAGUUGGGCAACCACCACCACAACCAAUUUUAGAAUCUUUUCGUCACCCCAGAAAGACACCCUAUACCCAUGAGUAGCCACUCCCCAUUGCUCCCCAGUCCCCAGCCCAAAGCAGCCACUAUCUACUCAUCUGCCUGCUGUGGACAUUUCAUGCAAAUGGGAUCAUACAGUAUACAGUCUUUUGCAUCUGACUUCUUUCACUUACCAUGUUUCAAGGUU